AGAGUUUGAUCCUGGCUCAGGAUGAACGCUAGCGGGAGGCUUAACACAUGCAAGUCGAGCGGGAUUAGCAGCAAUGCUAUGAGAGCGGCGCACGGGUGCGUAACGCGUAUGCAACCUGCCUUAUACAGGGGGAUAGCCCAUGGAAACGUGGAUUAAUAUCCCAUAGGAUUACAAUUUCGCAUGGAAAAGUAAUUAAAACUGAGGUGGUAUAAGAUGGGCAUGCGUCUGAUUAGGUAGUUGGUAGGGUAACGGCCUACCAAGCCGACGAUCAGUAGGGGUUCUGAGAGGAUUACCCCCCACACUGGUACUGAGACACGGACCAGACUCCUACGGGAGGCAGCAGUGAGGAAUAUUGGUCAAUGGGCGAGAGCCUGAACCAGCCAUCCCGCGUGCAGGAUGACGGCCCUAUGGGUUGUAAACUGCUUUUCUGCGCCAAGAAACCUGUCAACGUGUUGACAGCUGACGGUAGCGCAGGAAUAAGCAUCGGCUAACUCCGUGCCAGCAGCCGCGGUAAUACGGAGGAUGCGAGCGUUAUCCGGAUUCAUUGGGUUUAAAGGGUGCGCAGGUGGGAAAAUAAGUCAGUGGUGAAAUACUGCCGCUUAACGGUAGAAUUGCCAUUGAUACUGUUUUUCUUGAGUAUGGUUGAGGUAGGUGGAAUGUGUUGUGUAGCGGUGAAAUGCAUAGAUAUGACACAGAACGCCGAUUGCGAAGGCAGCUUACUAAGCCAUUACUGACGCUGAGGCACGAAAGCGUGGGGAUCGAACAGGAUUAGAUACCCUGGUAGUCCACGCCGUAAACGAUGAUCACUCGCUGUUUGCGAUAUACAGCAAGCGGCUGAGCGAAAGCAUUAAGUGAUCCACCUGGGGAGUACGAUCGCAAGGUUGAAACUCAAAGGAAUUGACGGGGGCCCGCACAAGCGGAGGAGCAUGUGGUUUAAUUCGAAGCAACGCGAAGAACCUUACCAGGGCUUGACAUCCCGAUCGUAUACAGAGAUGUACCUUUCCCUUCGGGGGCAGGGGUGACAGGUGGUGCAUGGUUGUCGUCAGCUCGUGUCGUGAGAUGUUGGGUUAAGUCCCGCAACGAGCGCAACCCUUGUUGUUAGUUGCCAUCAUUUAAGUUGGGCACUCUAACGAGACUGCCGGUGACAAAUCGGAGGAAGGUGGGGACGACGUCAAAUCAUCAUGCCCCUUAUGUCCUGGGCUACACACGUACUACAAUGGCUAUAACAGCAGGGAGCUAAGGAGCAAUCCGGAGCGAAUCCUCAAAAAUAGUCCCAGUUCAGAUUGUGGGCUGCAACCCGCCCACAUGAAGUCGGAAUUGCUAGUAAUGGCAGGUCAGCAUACUGCCGUGAAUACGUUCCCGGGCCUUGUACACACCGCCCGUCACAAUUUUAGCUUCAAUGCUAAUGUAAUGAGGCUAAAAUUCAGGCUAGGAGAGCGCUGCCGAAGGUGGGGCCGAUGAUUGGGGUGAAGUCGUAACAAGGUAACC
rnacentral:rRNA from 1 species